rnacentral:rRNA from 1 species
UACGGGGGGAGCAAGCGUUGUUCGGAUUUACUGGGCGUAAAGGGCGCGUAGGCGGUCAGCACAAGUCAGUUGUGAAAUCUCCGGGCUUAACUCGGAAAGGUCAACUGAUACUGUGCGACUAGAGUGCAGAAGGGGCAACUGGAAUUCUCGGUGUAGCGGUGAAUGCGUAGAUAUCGAGAGGAACACCUGCGGCGAAGGCGGGUUGCUGGGCUGACACUGACGCUGAUGCGCGAAAGCCAGGGGAGCGAACGGG